rnacentral:rRNA from 1 species
CGGGAGGUAAUGUCUGGGAAACGGCCUGAUGGAGGGGGAUAACUACUGGAAACGGUAGCUAAUACCGCAUAACGUCGCAAGACCAAAGUGGGGGACCGUUCGGGCCUCAUGCCAUCAGAUGUGCCCAGAUGGGAUUAGCUAGUAGGUGGGGUAACGGCUCACCUAGGCGACGAUCCCUAGCUGGUCUGAGAGGAUGACCAGCCACACUGGAACUGAGACACGGUCCAG